GAUGAACGCUGGCGGCGUGCCUAAUACAUGCAAGUCGAGCGAACGGACGAGAAGCUUGCUUCUCUGAUGUUAGCGGCGGACGGGUGAGUAACACGUGGAUAACCUACCUAUAAGACUGGGAUAACUUCGGGAAACCGUAGCUAAUACCGGAUAAUAUUUUGAACCGCAUGGUUCAAAAGUGAAAGACGGUCUUGCUGUCACUUAUAGAUGGAUCCGCGCUGCAUUAGCUAGUUGGUAAGGUAACGGCUUACCAAGGCAACGAUGCAUAGCCGACCUGAGAGGGUGAUCGGCCACACUGGAACUGAGACACGGUCCAGACUCCUACGGGAGGCAGCAGUAGGGAAUCUUCCGCAAUGGGCGAAAGCCUGACGGAGCAACGCCGCGUGAGUGAUGAAGGUCUUCGGAUCGUAAAACUCUGUUAUUAGGGAAGAACAUAUGUGUAAGUAACUGUGCACAUCUUGACGGUACCUAAUCAGAAAGCCACGGCUAACUACGUGCCAGCAGCCGCGGUAAUACGUAGGUGGCAAGCGUUAUCCGGAAUUAUUGGGCGUAAAGCGCGCGUAGGCGGUUUUUUAAGUCUGAUGUGAAAGCCCACGGCUCAACCGUGGAGGGUCAUUGGAAACUGGAAAACUUGAGUGCAGAAGAGGAAAGUGGAAUUCCAUGUGUAGCGGUGAAAUGCGCAGAGAUAUGGAGGAACACCAGUGGCGAAGGCGACUUUCUGGUCUGUAACUGACGCUGAUGUGCGAAAGCGUGGGGAUCAAACAGGAUUAGAUACCCUGGUAGUCCACGCCGUAAACAAUGAGUGCUAAGUGUUAGGGGGUUUCCGCCCCUUAGUGCUGCAGCUAACGCAUUAAGCACUCCGCCUGGGGAGUACGACCGCAAGGUUGAAACUCAAAGGAAUUGACGGGGACCCGCACAAGCGGUGGAGCAUGUGGUUUAAUUCGAAGCAACGCGAAGAACCUUACCAAAUCUUGACAUCCUUUGACAACUCUAGAGAUAGAGCCUUCCCCUUCGGGGGACAAAGUGACAGGUGGUGCAUGGUUGUCGUCAGCUCGUGUCGUGAGAUGUUGGGUUAAGUCCCGCAACGAGCGCAACCCUUAAGCUUAGUUGCCAUCAUUAAGUUGGGCACUCUAAGUUGACUGCCGGUGACAAACCGGAGGAAGGUGGGGAUGACGUCAAAUCAUCAUGCCCCUUAUGAUUUGGGCUACACACGUGCUACAAUGGACAAUACAAAGGGCAGCGAAACCGCGAGGUCAAGCAAAUCCCAUAAAGUUGUUCUCAGUUCGGAUUGUAGUCUGCAACUCGACUACAUGAAGCUGGAAUCGCUAGUAAUCGUAGAUCAGCAUGCUACGGUGAAUACGUUCCCGGGUCU
rnacentral:rRNA from 1 species